UGAGCUAAUCUAGCCAUUCUACAUACGGAAAUAAGCGUUGGAAACGACGUCUAAUGCCGAAUACGACCUCCUUUCGCAUGAUCGGAGGUGGAAAGCUCCGGCGGAGAAGGAUGAGCUCGCGGCCUAUCAGCUAGUUGGUGUGGGUAAUGGCCCACCAAGGCGACGACGGGUAGCCGGCCUGAGAGGGUGACCGGCCACACUGGGACUGAGACACGGCCCAGACUCCCGUAGGGAGG
rnacentral:rRNA from 1 species